AUAAGAUCUGAUGUGCCCGUAAAAAUUCAAGCCUCCACGAUUGCCAAUCAUGUUUAUAUGGAUGAAAAGAUAGUCAUGAUCUGGAUCAAGAAUGCUCAAAUGUUCCUAAGAAUGCUAAAUUUGUUAUGGAUGAAAACAUGGUUCAUUUUUCAGGGAAACACGAAGGUUGAUGAAGGCUGGCUUAUUCGAGCGCUAAAAUUAAAAUAAGACCUAUAAUUUAAAAGUAAAUUUCCGGUUGAUAAAGGUUUGGCUAAUCUGAUUUUCUUAAAGAUAUGAUGCAAGGAAAUUUUUUAUUUUUCUAUAAUAAAAUAUGAGUUCUACAUGGUUUUAAUAUUUAAUUAUCCACUUAAUUUUUUUGGUGGGACAUUAUUUUUUUUAAUAAAUGUAGAUCUAAUUAUGAGGGUUAUUAAUGCAUAUUUCCAUAAUUGAAGAAGGUUACAACUCCUACAUUCGUUAGAUGCAAAUGGCUAGGAUGAGACUGGGAUGGUCAGAUCAUCCCUUUGUCUCUGAAAAUGUUAUUCGUCCAUCGGUUUGUAU